rnacentral:rRNA from 1 species
GCAAGUCGAACGAGAAAGCUCUUCGGAGUGAGUAGAGUGGCGCACGGGUGAGUAACACGUAGGUGACCUACCAUACAGUGGAGGAUAACCAGGAGAAAUUCUGGCUAAUACUGCAUACGAAGCACAAUUUUGAAAGUAGUGCUUGAAAGAAUGCUCCGGCAUUUGCUGAAUGAUGGGCCUGCGUAACAUUAGUUUGUUGGUGGGGUAAUGGCCUACCAAGACUACGAUGUUUAGCUGGUCUGAGAGGAUGAUC